CCCAGCCAUAAUGAGCACUUUUAAUGACUAGCUCAUCAAUUUUUUUUAAUAUGGAAUUUCGCUCUGUCACCCAGGCUGGAGUGCAGUGGUGUGGUCUCGGCUCACUGCAACCUCUGCCUUCCGGGUUCAGGUGAUUCUCGUGCCUCAGUCUCCUGAGUAGCUGGGACUAUAGGCACAUGCCACCAUGCCUGGCUAAUUUUUGUAUUUUUAAUAGAGACAGCGUUUCACUGUGUUGGCCAGGCUGGUCUCGAACUUAGCUCAUCAUUUUAUUAUUUUUUAGAGACAGGGUCUCCCUCUGUUGCCCAGGCCAGAGUGCAGUGGCAUGAUCAUAACUCACUGCAGCCUCAAAUUCCUGAGCUCAAGCAAUUCUCCCACCUUAGCCUCCAAAGUAGCUGGGACUAGAGGCCAAGCUAUUUUUAAAAAUUUUUUCUAGAGGUGGGGUCUCACUAUGUUGUCCAGACUGGUCUCAAACUCCUGGCCUCAGGAGAUUCUCCUGCCUCAGCCUCCCAAAGCACUGGGAUUAUUGGCAUGAGCCACCAUGCCCUGGCUCUAGCUCAUCAUUUUGUACUGACACCGCAUUCAUCAGAGCUGAAGAUGCUGAACAACAUUUGUAACUUUAAAAUUCUACAGGUCACGUGUAAUCC
rnacentral:lncRNA from 10 species